AGAGUUUGAUCCUGGCUCAGAUUGAACGCUGGCGGCAGGCUUAACACAUGCAAGUCGAGCGGGGAAAGGUAGCUUGCUACCUGACCUAGCGGCGGACGGGUGAGUAAUGCUUAGGAAUCUGCCUAUUAGUGGGGGACAACAUUCCGAAAGGAAUGCUAAUACCGCAUACGCCCUACGGGGGAAAGCAGGGGAUCUUCGGACCUUGCGCUAAUAGAUGAGCCUAAGUCAGAUUAGCUAGUUGGUGGGGUAAAGGCCUACCAAGGCGACGAUCUGUAGCGGGUCUGAGAGGAUGAUCCGCCACACUGGGACUGAGACACGGCCCAGACUCCUACGGGAGGCAGCAGUGGGGAAUAUUGGACAAUGGGCGAAAGCCUGAUCCAGCCAUGCCGCGUGUGUGAAGAAGGCCUUUUGGUUGUAAAGCACUUUAAGCGAGGAGGAGGCUACCGAGAUUAAUACUCUUGGAUAGUGGACGUUACUCGCAGAAUAAGCACCGGCUAACUCUGUGCCAGCAGCCGCGGUAAUACAGAGGGUGCGAGCGUUAAUCGGAUUUACUGGGCGUAAAGCGUGCGUAGGCGGCUUUUUAAGUCGGAUGUGAAAUCCCUGAGCUUAACUUAGGAAUUGCAUUCGAUACUGGGAAGCUAGAGUAUGGGAGAGGAUGGUAGAAUUCCAGGUGUAGCGGUGAAAUGCGUAGAGAUCUGGAGGAAUACCGAUGGCGAAGGCAGCCAUCUGGCCUAAUACUGACGCUGAGGUACGAAAGCAUGGGGAGCAAACAGGAUUAGAUACCCUGGUAGUCCAUGCCGUAAACGAUGUCUACUAGCCGUUGGGGCCUUUGAGGCUUUAGUGGCGCAGCUAACGCGAUAAGUAGACCGCCUGGGGAGUACGGUCGCAAGACUAAAGUUAGAGUGAAUGACG
rnacentral:rRNA from 1 species